rnacentral:piRNA from 1 species
UNCAAAGUGAUACUAUGCCACAUGUUGCC